UACGUAGGUGGCAAGCGUUGUCCGGAUUUACUGGGCGUAAAGAGCGCGCAGGCGGUCGAUCAAGUCGCGUGUGAAAGCCCCCGGCUCAACUGGGGAGGGUCACGCGAUACUGAUCGACUCGAAGGCAGGAGAGGGUAGUGGAAUUCCCGGUGUAGUGGUGAAAUGCGCAGAUAAUCAGGAGGAACACCGGUGGCGAAGGCGGGUCUCUGGGCCGAUACUGACGCUGAGGAGCGAAAGCGUGGGGAGCGAACAGG
rnacentral:rRNA from 1 species